rnacentral:rRNA from 1 species
UACGGAGGGUGCAAGCGUUGUUCGGAAUUAUUGGGCGUAAAGCGCGUGUAGGCGGCUCUCUAAGUCUGGUGUGAAAUCCCGGAGCUUAACUCCGGAACUGCACUGGAUACUGGAAAGCUAGAGGGCGAGAGAGGAUGGUGGAAUUCCUGGUGUAGGGGUGAAAUCCGUAGAUAUCAGGAGGAACAUCAGUGGCGAAGGCGGCCAUCUGGCUCGCACCUGACGCUGAGACGCGAAAGCGUGGGGAGCAAACAGG